rnacentral:tRNA from 1 species
GCCCGGCUAGCUCAAUCGGUAGGGGACGAGACUCUUAAUCUCGAGGUCGUGGGUUCCAGCCCCGCGUUGAGCC